AUUGAACGCUGGCGGCAUGCCUUACACAUGCAAGUCGAACGGCAGCACGGGAGCAAUCCUGGUGGCGAGUGGCGAACGGGUGAGUAAUAUAUCGGAACGUGCCCAGUCGUGGGGGAUAACGUAGCGAAAGCUACGCUAAUACCGCAUACGAUCUAUGGAUGAAAGCGGGGGAUCGCAAGACCUCGCGCGAUUGGAGCGGCCGAUAUCAGAUUAGGUAGUUGGUGAGGUAAAGGCUCACCAAGCCGACGAUCUGUAGCUGGUCUGAGAGGACGACCAGCCACACUGGGACUGAGACACGGCCCAGACUCCUACGGGAGGCAGCAGUGGGGAAUUUUGGACAAUGGGCGCAAGCCUGAUCCAGCAAUGCCGCGUGCAGGAUGAAGGCCUUCGGUUGUAACUGCUUUGUACGGUAACGAAACGGUGAGCUCUAAUACAG
rnacentral:rRNA from 1 species